GUCACUGUAGUGUACUGGUUUAAAUGUUGGACUACCACUCAGGAGACCAGAGUUCAAUUCUCAGCUCAGCCA